rnacentral:tRNA from 1 species
GCCUUCUUGGCUCAGUUGGCAGAGCGUCCGCCUAGUAAGCGGAAGGUCGGCGGUUCGAAUCCGCCAGAAGGCA